rnacentral:lncRNA from 1 species
UGAGCUGAUACACUCUGCUUUGUGCAGCAUCAAAACUGUGGAGGGGUCAGUAUCUUAGUAUGCUUUGCUUAAUAGUUGCUAUAAAGUGGAUUUCUGAAGAGAAUUUCUUGGCUAGAUAUUAAGAAAAAACUGGAAGCAGGACAACAAAAUAAUUGUGAGAAGAUUUUCAGGUAAUCCUAAUUAAAAAGAAAACAAAAAGUAGUCAUAUGGAAAUGUGCCUUCUGCUGAUAUUAAAAAGCAUACCAUUGGGUGUUAUUGAUCUGUUUGUCUAUGAUAUAGGUCCUGCCUUUCCCCAUUUCACAAAAAGAGGCAUUUUAUCUUGUCCUUCCUUGUUCCUCAGUUACUAUUUAAAUAGAAAUUAAAGCAAAGUUGGCAAAAUAAAAUGCCAGUUACAUUACAAGGAAAGAACAACCUGUUUCAAGGUCAUAUUUCCAAAGAGGAAAGAAAGUAUGUUUUAUUUGGCUUAUAAAUAAAGUAGCACUGACCCAGUGAAAGCAUAAACGUUUUCGAUUUUAAUCUACUGCACUCUAGCCACAUGUUAUGCAUAAGCGUGGAUUGAUCAGUUUUUAAAUAUCAAAUUAUUCCUAAAGUGAGUUAUUAAAUAAUUUUCAUGAUUUCAGAAGAAUAUGACCAUUACUUCUAUAACCAAUCAGAAUUAUAAUAAAUUUUUUGUACUGUCAGCUAAAAGAAAAUGCCCAGAAGCCAGAUAGCUGAAAUUGUUAUUUAUUAAAAUAACUUUUUAACCUAUAAUUACUGAUUUUAAAAAUAACUUAGUCUGAACCUGAGAACUGUGUUAUGUAUUUAAGCAGUAUUUACAGGUUAGGAGUUUUGAGUGUUCGUUAAGGUCUUAGCACAUUGCUGUAUGCCUUUUAUUGGCACAAUUCCAUUUAAUUUUCACAUCAGCCCUACGGAGUAAGUCUUGUUAUACUCAUGUUUAUAGAUGAAGAAGUUGACGUUCAAAGAGUUAACUUGCAUUAAAUCUUACAGACAGUAAAAGAUAGUGUAAGUGCUUGAACCCAGGUUCAUCUUAUUUAAAAUUACAGGACCUUUACAACUAAACUGCCGUAAAGAAAAGAAAGUCCUUACUGUUGAGGAAUAUGGAGAUUAAUGGGCAGGACAGGCAUGUAUGAACCAAGGACUGAGGAAGCACAAUUAAAAGAGUGACUUAUUCUGUUCAAAGUAGCAGAGGAAAAUCAACUUGCAUAAAAUUCAAAUAGAAGUCUUCCAGAAAAUAACAUAAACAUUAUUUCAAAUAGAGUCCUUCACUAAUUCACAAGCAUGAGUGUCGACUCUGUGCCAUCUGCUGCGCUCUGAAAUAUUAUGCAAAAGCCCUUUGUUACUAUGGUUAGUCUUGUGCUUGAUACAGACAUUCAAAGUGAAGUCAGCGUACUAAUAUCAAGAAAAGUGCUAUGUAUGUUCUGAGUGCUCAUGAUGCAUUAACUAAAGUGAAUGGAUUUUGUUGGCAUAAUAUGAAUAUAAUAGUAAAGCAAAAAUACUAAUUCAAGAAAUGAAUAAAGGAUGAAUGAGAAAGAAGUUUAUUAAUUAAAAUUUUAAGUAAAUAACUUUUUUAAAGUAAUGUGCAAUGCUCUACAAGAUUAUCCCAGCACAUUAGUUACUUCCUGUUUCUCUUACUCACUUUGGGCAGCUGCAUUAAGUCAGUUCACAAUGGAACCAUUUCUCAUACAGAGGCAGUAACUUACUAAACAGUCCUUUAGAAGGCAGCAGUGGUGAAUGCAGCUGCCAAAAGUGCUUGAUAGAACCUGGGAUUAGAAUUCACACUGGAAGAAGCUGGCUCAAUGUGUCAUACAAAUAUGAAAUGCAUGUAAUUGCAUGUUUCUAAAUUGAAACUCUGGCAUCUGUUGGAGUAUUUUUCUGAUGCCAAGAAACCAAAUGAAACAAAAAGUCAAGAAAAUCUGAAGUUGGAAACCCAAGUACCAUAUAAUAUCCGAAGUAAUAAGUUGCAUUGUUUCUUCUGUAACAUUUGGCUUUGUAGCUCUGAUUUGCCAUAGAAUGUGGUUUCUUUUGCCAUAAUAAAUGAUUUAUGUGAU